UACCGAGCUCCCGGAUGUGGUAA
rnacentral:snRNA from 1 species